rnacentral:rRNA from 1 species
UACAGAGGGUGCGAGCAUUGUCCGGAAUCACUGGGCGUAAAGGGCGCGUAGGUGGCGCCGCAAGUCCAUGGUGAAAGCUCGAUGCUCAACAUCGAGUCGGCCACGGAGACUGCGGGGCUCGAGCACUGUAGGGGCAGAUGGAAUUCCGGGUGUAGCGGUGGAAUGCGUAGAGAUCCGGAAGAACACCGGUGGCGAAGGCGGUCUGCUGGGCAGUUGCUGACACUGAGGCGCGACAGCGUGGGGAGCAAACAGG